rnacentral:rRNA from 1 species
AGGCUAGUGGAGCGAACCGGGUGAACUGAAACAUCUCAGUAGCUCGAGGAAAAGAAAUCAACCGAGAUUCCGAAAGUAGUGGCGAGCGAAAUCGGAUGAGCCUUUACGUUUUAGCACGCAGGAUAGUCGAACGGAAUGGAAAGUCCGGCCGUAGCAGGUGAUAGCCCUGUAGACGAAAUUCUGUGUGUGGAACUAAGCGUAAGACAAGUAGGGCGGGACACGUGAAAUCCUGUUUGAAGAUGGGGGGACCAUCCUCCAAGGCUAAAUACUCGUGAUCGACCGAUAGUGAACCAGUACCGUGAGGGAAAGGCGAAAAGAACCCCGGAAGGGGAGUGAAAUAGAUCCUGAAACCGUAUGCAUACAAACAGUAGGAGCCUCCUUGUGGGGUGACUGCGUACCUUUUGUAUAAUGGGUCAGCGACUUACAUUCAGUGGCAAGGUUAACCGAAUAGGGAAGCCGUAGCGAAAGCGAGUCCGAAUAGGGCGAUUUAGUCGCUGGGUGUAGACCCGAAACCAGAUGAUCUAUCCAUGGCCAGGUUGAAGGCACGGUAACACGUGCUGGAGGACCGAACCCACUAAUGUUGAAAAAUUAGGGGAUGAGCUGUGGAUAGGGGUGAAAGGCUAAACAAAUCUGGAAAUAGCUGGUUCUCUCCGAAAACUAUUUAGGUAGUGCCUCAAGUAUUACUGCGGGGGGUAGAGCACUGUUAUAGCUAGGGGGUCAUGGCGACUUACCAAACUAUGGCAAACUCCGAAUACCCGCAAGUACAGCUUGGGAGACAGAGCACCGGGUGCUAACGUCCGGACUCAAGAGGGAAACAACCCAGACCGCCAGCUAAGGUCCCGAAUUAUCGCUAAGUGGGAAACGAAGUGGGAAGGCAUAGACAGUCAGGAGGUUGGCUUAGAAGCAGCCAUCCUUUAAAGAAAGCGUAAUAGCUCACUGAUCGAGUCGUCCCUGCGCGGAAGAUGUAACGGGGCUUAAGCGAUAAACCGAAGCUGCGGGUGUUGCACUUUUUUAGUGCAC